UAUAAUCUUCCCAAUGACCUUUGGGUUUGGUUGGAUAGGUUUUAUCUUCAAUAUGAAACUGAGGCCUAGAGUAGUUUGAAAUGGCAGAUCUAAUCGAUAGUAGAAACAGGACUAGACUCAGUCUCUUGCCUGUGAUUGUAUCCUCUUCCUUAUAACCUGUGUUGUACAGAUUAAGUGGUGAUAUCCUCUUCCGUGGCUGAUGAAGAAAAGCUAAUACAGAAUGCUGUGGCAGAGGAAUUCCUUGUAUGUGUUAUUUAGAUAUAUACCCAGAAGUGGAAUUAAUGGAUCUAUGAAAUGUCUGGUCAAGACCAU